CCCUUAGAUGUUCUGGGCUGCACGCGCGCUACACUGACGUACGCAACGAGUGUCCUUUACCGAGAGGUAUGGGUAAUCAUUUGAGUGUACGUCGUGAUGGGGAUAGAAUAUUGUAAUUAUUACUCUUCAACGAGGAAUUCCUAGUAAGCGCAAGUCAGCAGCUUGCGCUGAUUACGUCCCUGCCCUUUGUACACACCGCCCGUCGCUACUGCCAACUGAGAUGGGUCCUGAAUUGUUAGGAACGCCCGUCAAGGGGCCUACCCGGUCCCUAGUGCGGUGACGAGAAUAACUGUAAAUGGCAUAUCUUGUAGGGAGUAAAAGUCGUAACA
rnacentral:rRNA from 1 species